rnacentral:rRNA from 1 species
GAUGAACGCUGGCGGCGUGCCUAAUACAUGCAAGUCGAGCGAACAGACGAGGCGCUUGCUCCUCUGACGUUUGCGGCGGACGGGUGAGUAACACGUGUAUAACCUACCUAUAAGACUGGUAUAAUUUCGGGAAUCCGGCUCUAAUACCGGAUAAUCUAUUGAACCGUAUGGUUCAAUAGUGAAAGACGGCUUUGCUGUCACUUAUAGAUGGAUCCGCGCGGCAUUAGCUAGUUGGUAGGGUAACAGCUUACCACGGCAACGAUGCCUAGCCGACCUGAGGGGGGGAUGGGCCACAGAGAAACUGAGAGGCGACACAGGGACCGAGAGAAGGCAGCGGUAGGGAAUCUACCGAGAAGGGGGGAAGCCUGACGGAGCAACGCAGCGUGGGUGAUGAAGGUCUUCGGGUCGUAAAACUCUGUUAUUGGGGAAGAACAAAUGUGUAAGUAACGAUGCACGUCUGAACGGUACCUAUACAGAAAGCCACGGCGAACUACGU